rnacentral:rRNA from 1 species
GACAGCAGUAGCCGCGGGAAUACGUAGGUCCCGAGCGUUGUCCGGAUUUAUUGGGCGUAAAGCGAGCGCAGGCGGUUAGAUAAGUCUGAAGUUAAAGGCUGUGGCUUAACCAUAGUACGCUUUGGAAACUGUUUAACUUGAGUGCAGAAGGGGAGAGUGGAAUUCCAUGUGUAGCGGUGAAAUGCGUAGACAUAUGGAGGAACACCGGUGGCGAAAGCGGCUCUCUGGUCUGUAACUGACGCUGAGGCUCGAAAGCGUGGGGAGCAAACAGGAUUAGAUACCCCCGUAGUCCCUGUCUCUUAUACA